UGGUGUUUUUCUACCUUGUCAAAUUGAUUUAGUUGUUAGGUGUUCUUUUUUGAAUUAUUACUUAUGGUUUUGUCUUUAUUUUUAAUGUUAGCUCCGAGGUCUACAAAUUGGAUAGAUAUACAAGUGGGAGGUUUUCAUCUUCACUUGUUGCUGGAAAGGUUAGAUAACAAUAUUCCUAGACAAUAUUUCAUACUUGUUUUGCAUUG
rnacentral:lncRNA from 1 species